UCCGGUUGAUCCCGCCGGACCCGACUGCUAUCAGAGUGGGACUAAGCCAUGCGAGUCAACAUAGCAAUAUGUGGCAUACGGCUCAGUAACACGUAGUCAACAUGCCCAGGGGACGUGGAUAACCUCGGGAAACUGAGAAUAAACCACGAUAGAUCAUAGUGCCUGGAAUGGCUUAUGGUCCAAACAGUUUACUGCCAUGGGAUGGGACUGCGGCCUAUCAGCUUGUUGGUGAGGUAAUGGCCCACCAAGGCGAUUACAGGUACGGGCUCUGAGAGGAGUAGCCCGGAGAUGGGUACUGAGACACGGACCCAGGCCCUAUGGGGCGCAGCAGGCGAGAAACCUUAGCAAUGUGCGAAAGCACGACUGGGUCAGUCCGAGUGAUUCCUGAUAAAGGAGUCUUUUGCCUGUCCUAAAAGCACAGGUGAAUAAGGGGUGGGCAAGUCUGGUGUCAGCCGCCGCGGUAAUACCAGCACCUCGAGUGGUCAGGACGUUUAUUGGGCCUAAAGCAUCCGUAGCCGGCUCUGCAAGUCUUCGGUUAAAUCCACCUGCUCAACAGAUGGGCCGCUGGAGAUACUACAGAGCUAGGGAGUGGGAGAGGCAGACGGUAUUCAGUGGGUAGGGGUAAAAUCCUCUGAUCCAUUGAGGACCACCAGUGGCGAAGGCGGUCUGCCAGAACACGUUCGACGGUGAGGGAUGAAAGCUGGGGGAGCAAACCGGGUUAGAUACCCGGGUAGUCCCAGCUGUAAACGAUGCAAACUCGGUGAUGCAUUGGCUUAUGGCCAAUGCAGUGCCGCAGGGAAGCCGUUAAGUUUGCCGCCUGGGAAGUACGGACGCAAGUCUGAAACUUAAAGGAAUUGGCGGGGGAGCA
rnacentral:rRNA from 1 species